rnacentral:rRNA from 1 species
GAUGAACGCUGGCGGCGUGCCUAAUACAUGCAAGUCGAGCGAACAGACGAGUAGCUUGCUCCUCUGACGUUAGCGGCGGACGGGUGAGUAACACGUGGAUAACCUACCUAUAAGACUGGGAUAACUUCGGGAAACCGGAGCUAAUACCGGAUAAUAUAUUGAACCGCAUGGUUCAAUAGUGAAAGACGGUUUUGCUGUCACUUAUAGAUGGAUCCGCGCCGCAUUAGCUAGUUGGUAAGGUAACGGCGUACCAAGGCAACGAUGCGUAGCCGACCUGAGAGGGUGAUCGGCCACACUGGAACUGAGACACGGUCCAGACUCCUACGGGAGGCAGCAGUAGGGAAUCUUCCGCAAUGGGCGAAAGCCUGACGGAGCAACGCCGCGUGAGUGAUGAAGGUCUUCGGAUCGUAAAACUCUGUUAUUAGGGAAGAACAAAUGUGUAAGUAACUAUGCACGUCUUGACGGUACCUAAUCAGAAAGCCACGGCUAACUACGUG